rnacentral:rRNA from 1 species
UACGGGGGGUGCAAGCGUUGUCCGGAUUUACUGGGCGUAAAGGGCGCGUAGGCGGUUGUAUCAGUCGGGCUUAUAAGUGCGGGGCUCAACCCCGUGAUGGGUUCGGGACGGUAUGACUGGGGCGCGGUCGAGGGAGACGGAAUGCCGGGUGUAAUGGUGACAUGCGUAGAGAUCCGGCGGAACACCGGUGGUGAAGGCGGUCUCCUAGGCCGAGGGCCGACGCUGAGGCGCGAGAGCGUGGGGAGCGAACCGG